rnacentral:rRNA from 1 species
AAUAUUGCGAAAUGGAGGGAACUCUGACGCAGCGACGCCGCGUGAGUGAUUAAGGUCUUCGGAUCGUAAAGCUCUGUCCUUGGGGAAGAAGAUCUUCGGAUUCUACGGUACUCAAGGUGGAAGCUCCGUCUAACUACGUUCCAGCAGCCGCAGUAAUCAGGCGGGGGCAAGCGUUGUCCGGAAUUAUUGGGCGUAAAGGGGGCGUAGGCGGCCUUAUAAGUCAGAUGUGAAAGACCACGGCUUAACCGUGGGGUUGCAUUAGAAACUGGAGGGCUUGAGUAUCGGAGAGGAUAGUGGAAUUCCCAGUGUAGCGGUGGAAUGCGUAGAUAUUGGGAGGAACACCAGUGGCGAAGGCGACUACCUGGACGAAAACUGACGCUGAUGCACGAAAGCUAGGGGAGCAAACA